GAAUUUUCUCCAAUAUUUUACCCAAUUACCUCAUUAAUUAACCAAUAAAACCCAAAGAAAAGCCACCGAUUAACCUUCUUAAACAAACCGUUUCUACUUCCUUCGUUGAUAAUGGCAGCCGAUCAAAUUCAACCAAACCGUGUCUUUUUCCUUUCAUUAAUUAUUAUGGCAAUUGCGAACAUUAAUCUCUCUUCCCUCUCUUCGAUUAAAGAUCUAUAAUUAGCGAUGAACCUACGGAAUAAUGCUUAAAAUUCAAGGCAUACUAACGUUCAUCAUAAUCAUCAUUGAAUAGCAAAGGAGAACAUGAAAAGGACCAGCAAUAGCGAAAAAGCACAAUUAGGUUGCACCAUGGAUCCUUCAAUAGAUUUCGAGAAGGUACACUCUUUUUCUAUUUAUUCGUUUCAUGGUAUAUACAAUGCGCAAACGACACCCUUUUCACCAAUUAUUACGUUUUGGCAAUUUGUGUAUUGGCUUAAGUUGGAUUUCUCAUAACCAAAAAUAUAUAUAUAUUUGCUCGAUUAAAGAUUGAUUUUUUGCUAAUUAGAAUUGUCUGUGGAAGAGUUAAAUAAUUUGAUAGGAGCAUAAUAAUUAUCACUGAUAAUUUAUUAUUCAAACUCUUCGGUAGUCCCCAUUUAACUUUCCUUGAAACAUUUUUUGUCAGGUUUAUAUAUUAUAAACCUUGCAGUAUGGUCAAUCCAGAACAAUGAUUGAAUUAAUGAGAUGUUUUACUCCUUCUAUAGUUAGUUUAUCAGACAUUUUUGUAGAAUAUUUAGAAAUUUUGAUCCAAAAUAUCUGCUUCAAAUAUAAAACCCGAGUUAUUCUCGGAACCGAAUAUUAUAAUAUGUUAUAAUAUAUGUCCUCUAUAACAGCACAUCACUAUAGUAGCCAAAACAAUUCAGAACGAAUUAGGCUGUUAUAGAGAGAUUUGGCUGUAUAAUAUUCUUCACUUUUUGCUCUCUUCAUAUUUUAAUAGGGAAAACGAUGUUGGACUGUGUUUUCACUAUAUGUUGUCACCAAAAUUUCAAUCUUUUGGUCACUUGGCUUCACUUUCUUGCAGAUUCGCUUAAAAAUUGGAAGCGAAUUUUUUUUGUGUAACUGGAGCAAAACAUCAGCCUCUAUCAUCAUUAAUUUGUAAUGUCUUCCUUCUUCACUCUUUCUUUUUUAGUAAACUUCUUGUAUCGAGAUCUACUUCUAUUUAAUUACUUUCGGUACUAUUGGAGUUAUGCAUAUGGCUCCAUUAGUUUUUAUUCUUUCUGGCUUGCAGAUAAGAACNNNNNNNNNNNNNN
rnacentral:lncRNA from 1 species